CGGCUACAGAGUACAGACACCUCUACCUGUGUUGGCCGGCCACUGCCACGUCAGCGAGCGGCAGGACCGCGGACUGCAACCUGGCCGCCCCGAUCUCCACCUUCCCUUCUGAAGAGGGAGGAGUCCCGUGGUGUGCGGUAGCCCGGGACCGGCUUUGGGGUUUCAGGGAAGCCUGUGCUCCAAAAAUUACAACUGGCACCUUUCUGUCCGAGUUGCUGUCGAUGAUGUUUCAUACAACUGAAAGAAGUGUCUAGAACCUUAUGACCCUUGUUCUGCCUAAAAAGAAGCCUGAGCAACUGGGUUGAGAUGAGAUUGUGUUUAUACGUCUAUCACCAAAUAACCAGCAGCUUCUGACAUCUCAGCUUUCUUUCUAUCAGACAGGAAAGGUGACUGCUUUAGUAUCAGAAAUACAUGGAUACGGAAAGGAAA
rnacentral:lncRNA from 1 species